AAGUCCACUGUAGUUGAGAGCCCUGCACGUUUGCAACAGUCAUUGCCAUGCUGUUGCCUAAGCCUGCUACAUCUGCUCACUCUCCUGGGGCGUGAUGGGUUUUUAUUCUUUCCAGGUGUCUGAGAGAGGAGACGGGUCUGUGGCUUGAUCAGGAAGCCCUUGUUCUGCCCACCCCAAACCUGCUGCUUGGAAAAUCACAGGUCCACUGUAGUCAAGGGCUGGAUAUUUGAAGACACCAAACACAUGCCACUACUGAAGACCUAUCAUCAUAGUUGCAAUGACUUAACACAACCAACGUACAAGUACAAAAAAAAA